CCUACGGGUGGCUGCAGUGGGGAAUAUUGGACAAUGGGCGAAAGCCUGAUCCAGCCAUGCCGCGUGUGUGAAGAAGGCCUUCGGGUUGUAAAGCACUUUCAGUGGGGAAGAAAGCCUUGGGGCUAAUACCCUCGAGGAAGGACAUCACCCACAGAAGAAGCACCGGCUAACUCCGUGCCAGCAGCCGCGGUAAUACGGAGGGUGCGAGCGUUAAUCGGAAUUACUGGGUGUAAAGCGCGCGUAGGCGGUCUGAUAAGCCGGUUGUGAAAGCCCCGGGCUCAACCUGGGAACGGCAUCCGGAACUGUCAGGCUAGAGUGCAGGAGAGGAAGGUAGAAUUCCCGGUGUAGCGGUGAAAUGCGUAGAGAUCGGGAGGAAUACCAGUGGCGAAGGCGGCCUUCUGGACUGACACUGACGCUGAGGUGCGAAAGCGUGGGUAGCAAACAGGAUUAGAUACCCCAGUAGUC
rnacentral:rRNA from 1 species